ensembl:lincRNA
AUGCUCAACCACGAGAUCUCCAUCUCGGACCCCAUCGUGAGCAUUAAAGUGACUCAAGAAAAGCACACACACCACAAAAUUCAGCUGCGGCUACCUUUCUUUUUUUGUUUGGAUGAUGAUCUGAAGAAGUACGCUCCGUCUGUUCCUACCAAAAUAACGUGGUCACAAGAAAGGUCUGGUUUCACCUACAAUUUUUUUCCAGUAUUACAAAGCACACCUCUUCCCCGUGACUGUAUCUCACAUAUGAAACAAAGAGACCCAUGGUUUUCUAGUCACUGCGGAUUAAUGUGGGAUACUAACACAGGGGCAGCUGUUCUUGCGGAGCCCUCUGUAGCACAUGAACCACAAUGCACAACUCAUGAAGAUGUCUAACAAGAACACUCUAGAAGGAACCACUACUUCAAAGUCACAGGUUCUCACUCUACUCUCUGGUGCAGCCUCAGAACAUGAGACCAGUUAUCUUCCUCCAAUUUGACCUGUGGAUAGCAGAGGAAAUGGCAGUGGUUGCCAUGGUACCUGAUGACAAGAUGAUACGGUGGCUCAAGCAUAUCCAAAUGCUUGACUGGGUCUUCCAGAUAAAAUGAUUGGCAAACACAGGUAAAGGCCAAAAUACUACAUAGGUUUUUUGUUUUGUUUUUUUAAUAAUGAAGAAGUAGAAAUUCAUCCUAACCCUAACACAGUAUUUCAACCCCAGGAAAACAUAAUGUAUGGGAGAAGAAAAUGAUUCCUGGUGAUGGCAACUGCCCCUUCUGAUGGACUGCCGGAGGGGAGCUGCCAUUCUACUAUUCCUAGCUUGCUUUCUCCACCAUGCUUCACAAUGGAUAAGGCAUAUGUCAUAGAAAAGUACCUUAGAAGGACCCUGAAAAUGUAUUAAUGUCAUAAAAAUGACUUAGAAAAGAAUCCUGGUGACAUAAAGUCAAGAGAUCAUGUUCAGUAUUAACACUUUAAUAGGCAAUUUUGAAAGCCAAUGGUAGUGCCUUUCUUGAUGAGAAGCCUGUAUACUUACAUGUUCAGUGGUUAAUAGCACUCUGAAGGCUACUACAGCACUCUGGAUCCUAAGCUGAGAACUUACAAGCCUCAGAACAGCAUGAGAAACAUGAAAGAAGGCUUCCAAUGAAGCCAUCAAGAGGAAGCCACAGAGAAUCACCACUUUCUCAACAACGGUUCUCAUCCGUGGCUGCCAAUGACUGAGGGCUUUAAAAACCCCUUAUGAGCUCCACCCUAGAGAACCCCAUGUACUGGUCUAGGGUUCAUCAGGCCACUGGGAUUUAUAAAGCUCUCAGAGUCAUUGUGACAUAGAGUCUGGGAUGCAAACUUUUGCCCCAGAACCCAUAACAAUGCUAACUCAUCAGUUGUGUACUCCAUGAGAGACAGCAUGGCUGUUCAUGUCAGAAGGCACAGUAAAUAAUCAAUGAAUAAAUCUGGGUUUGGAGCUUUUCAACUGCUCAUACAAAAGCCAGUGUCUCCCUAUCACCCACCUGCCUCUCUUUCCCUUUCUGCUUUCUCUCCCCACUCCCCCACACCCGACUUUCUCUAUCUCAAAAUAAAUUAUACCUGAAAUGGACUCUUACCAGCCAGAGCAUGGCAAACAUGGCUCUGACAAGCCCUCUGCCUUGAUAAAAACUAUUAGAUUACACUCCUAAAGCUAGCCACCAAGGUCUAUUCCCUUAUUUGGCCACUUCCUCCUCCUGAGGCCGACUACCAAGGUCCUGCUAUGAAAGUAUUCAAAUCCAGCAAUGAAAAGCCCCUUCUUCGAUGCCCCAAUUAAUAUGCCCAAUUAAAACAAACCAACUCCUCCUAACAUUGGGUUUCCCCCUUUCCCUUUAUAAACUGCCAUUCACCCACGGGCCACAUCUCUCUUUAUACAGAGGCAGUCCACUGACAUGCCCACACACACACACAGAGACAGACAAACAUCCCCCUCUCCCUUGUUCUUUCCCCCUUCUCCCUUGUCCUCUACCUCUGGUCUUUGUCUUUUAUUCCCUGCCCUUUGUCUCUCUGGGGCAAAUAAAUCUCCUUGUGCUGAGAACGUGAUCUUGGGGUGUCUUGUGCUGACACUGGUCCCAUUAAAACCUAAGAACAACUUUAUUUUCUUUAAGUAACACUAUUUGUGUCCCACUAUUUAUUUAUUUAUUUAUUUAUUGACAUUAGCUUUAAUCCCAUAGAACCGAACACAUUCAGACAGAUUCGAUUUAAUAACCAAUGAGAAAGCUCUUUGCCGAUCAUUUGAGCACUGAGCUGAUAUACUCUCACACAAACUGAUAGCAAUCAUGAGGCCAGAAAUAUUACGCUGCAGGUUCAUUUAACUGUUUAGUUUGCACAACUGCAUCUACUCAGGUAAGUGGGCAUUGGCAAAGCUUAUUUUUACCUUCUUUGUUCUACAUUUAAAAGAGCUAAUAUUCAGACACACAGCUAAGACUGUUUACUUUUCCUUUCUCUAAAAAGGCUUUGCUCAGAAAGUUAAUGCCUGGACCAUUAAACAGAAAACAUAACAAGCAACAGCUGCAGAGAGUGUUUUGAUCUAAAUAAAACUAGGGGCUGCACUUCAUAUUGCCAUAUUCUUAACAGCAGCAAAAUUUCAACCAAUAACAAUUCUAAAUAGCUUCAGGAAGUCCCUGAAACUAACCAGAUUCACUAAGCAUCUCCCUGUCAAAAUAAGCAAGAAAAGCUGAAAUUCCCGCUCAGGGGAGCAAGGCUGAGCUGCAAAAGAGGCUCUCGGACAAGCCAAGCAGUCUCUGAGACCAGACCAGCUGCCUGGAAGAAGCAGACACCAGCUGAGCUGCCUGGAAGAGGUUUAGACAAUGAGGCACCUGGAAGGAUGCUCUCCAACCUGUUGAGCCACCUGCAGCUGUGCAGUGUGCUCCAGGUUGGUCUGUCAAGGGUCCUUUAUCGGUGUAAGCAGACAUCUGGUAUAAGUAGACAAGUGCGAUGCAUCUCCCCAUGUGCGCCUCCAGCCUGCAGAGGCUACAACAGAGUAUUGGACCUCUUGGAACUGGGAUAGUUGUUAUGAAUGGCUGUGGACCACUAUGUGGGUGCUGGGAAUUCAACCCAGGUCCUCUGCAAGAGCAGCAAGUGCUCUUAACCAUUGAGCCAUCUCUCCAGUGCCAGGGUAUCUACUCAUGUUACUCAAACUCUUGAUUCACCUGGCUCGGUCACAGCAUAACCCAAGACAAAUUUCACCUUCCUUUCCGAAUUGAAAGAUGCCAAAGGCAGCUUGUUAUUUCAAAAUAAUGUCAUCAUUUUUAUUACUUAAAAAAUUUUGUGUGCCUAAAAGGGGAAGAGUGGCAAAGGUGACUGUCAGAGGACAACUUGCAGGACGUUUUCUCCAGUCACUAUGUGGAUCCAUAGGACCAAACUCAGAUCCUUACUCUUACAGUGGCAGCUUGUAUCCGCUAAGCCAUCUCUCUGUCCCAAGUUACUCAUCAUUCUUCUUAACAUGGAGUGUGUUAUUUCUGAAUGCAUUGCUUUAUGCUCUCCAGUUACCACUAAGCUCCCAGCAGUUCAUUAAUUCUUGAUAUUCAUUCUACAAGUAGUUAUUGAGCAUAAAUUAUACAUGAGUCACUGUGUUAAUCAAUAAGCACAGGGAAUCCUACAGUGAACACCACAAAUGGAGGCCACUUUCAUGGGCUGACUGUGUACAUUCGAUUCACACGGCUUCUUCCAAUAUUCACACACUCACCCCCCCACCCCCCAGUGCCUGGAAACCACAGCUGACUGUUCAGAGCACACUUCAAGGCUCAGGUUCCCUGUGAGACCCCUGCUGACCACACCCCAUCAAGCAAAACUGCUGUCCCACUACAACUACUUUCUUGCAUCCAGGAAGACCUGAAAUAUAUCCCUGUGGAUAUUAUGUUUACCUAUAAUUAACAUUUUAUUGAUAUAUUUAUUUAUAUCUUAUACUAUUUAUAUAUGAAUAUAUU